CGACACACACUCACACACGCAUGGAAGGAGAAGAGAAAACCCUCUCUUUCUCUCUCUAAAUCUCUCCCAAAAUAGGUGAAAUUGGUGGAGAAGAAGCUUGGAGGGAUCAUCAACACCAUCAUCUUCUUCUUCUUCAUUUUGGAGCAAGCUCUUGGAGGUAACGAAACGCGUUGGCGAAGACGGUUCGGCAAUCCGACGAGCCGUUACGAAGAUAUUAAAGAAACGGACGUUUAGGCUUCGUUUCCGCCUGGAGGGCCGAGGCGACGUCGUAAAAUCAUGGAAAUGGAUUUGGGGCACCAUAACAACAAAACGAAGACCUUUUUCUAACCGGGACUGCGAAGCGGAGCACGGUUGGUGAGCAAUUGCGAGUCCGGGCCGAAUUAGAUAGCGGGUACCGCGGGCGGCCGAUUACAAGUGACUACGAGCAAUCGGAACGCGAUAACAGGUUCGUACGUGAGCGGCACGGCGGCGCGAGGAAAGGGCGUAGCUCCGUAGAUAGCACCCUACCCCGGAGACCAAAGUUAGCAGUACCCCGUCUACUGUCACGCCCGGGUACCAGCGGAAGCAUAUC